AUGGGAGACGGGGGAGCUGCGCGGCAUGGCGCCGAAAGGUAUUGCCGUGAGGAAAGUCCGGGCUUCGAAGGGCAAGGAUAACGGAUAACGUCCGCCGGGGGAAACCCCAGGGAAAGUGCAACAGAAAGCAAACCGCCUCUUUUUGAGGUAAGGCUGA
rnacentral:RNase_P_RNA from 1 species